AACGAACGCUGGCGGCAGGCUUAACACAUGCAAGUCGAGCGCCCCGCAAGGGAGCGGCAGACGGGUGAGUAACGCGUGGGAACGUACCUUUUGGUUCGGAACAACUCCGGGAAACUGGAGCUAAUACCGGAUAAGCCCUAACGGGGAAAGAUUUAUCGCCGAAAGAUCGGCCCGCGUCUGAUUAGCUAGUUGGUGAAGUAACGGCUCACCAAGGCGACGAUCAGUAGCUGGUCUGAGAGGAUGAUCAGCCACACUGGGACUGAGACACGGCCCAGACUCCUACGGGAGGCAGCAGUGGGGAAUAUUGGACAAUGGGCGCAAGCCUGAUCCAGCCAUGCCGCGUGAGUGAUGAAGGCCUUAGGGUUGUAAAGCUCUUUUGUCCGGGAAGAUAAUGACUGUACCGGAAGAAUAAGCCCCGGCUAACUUCGU
rnacentral:rRNA from 1 species